rnacentral:ribozyme from 1 species
AGAGGUUGCACGUUCAAGCCCAAAGCAGAAGCACUUACCAUGCAGCCCUGUCAGAUUCCAAUGAAUCUGCAAAUUCUGCU